UGAGGGAAAGGUGAAAAGGACUUUGAGAAGAGAGUUAAAAGUGCCUGAAAUUGCUGAAAGGGAAGCGAAUGGAACCAGUGCAGCUUGGCAAGAUUGUUACGUGCCAGUGUGAUUGCUUGCUGCCUCAACGCAAGUGUGGCAGUAGGUCUUGAGCAUGACGCUCGUGGUGCUUCUUGCCUUGUGUGUCAACACCAGUUCACGGCUGAGGAAAACUUCAGGGACAUGGUAGCCUGUCUCCGGGUGGGUGAAUGUGCUUGCUGGAACUCAUCUGUGGUCUGGCUGUUGACUAAAUGGUUCCAUCCGACCCGUCUUGUAACACGGACCAAGG
rnacentral:rRNA from 1 species